rnacentral:rRNA from 1 species
AUUGAACGCCGGCGGCAGGCCUAACACAUGCAAGUCGAGCGAGCGGCGGACGGGUGAGUAAUGUCUGGGAAACUGCCUGAUGGAGGGGGAUAACUCCUGGAAACGGUAGCUAAUACCGCAUACCAUCAGAUGGGCCCAGAUGGGAUUAGCUAGUAGGUGGGGUACCGGCUCACCUAGGCGACGAUCCCUAGCUGGUCUGAGAGGAUUACCAGCCACACUGGAACUGAGACACGGCCCAGACUCCUACGUGAGGCAGCAGUGGGGAAUAUUGCACAAUGGGCGCAAGCCUGAUGCAGCCAUGCCGCGUGUAUGAAGAAGGCCUUCGGGUUGUAAAGUACUUUCAGCCGGGAGGCGUUACCCGCAGAAGAAGCACCGGCUAACUCCGUGCCAGCCGCCGCGGUAAUAC